CCUACGGGUGGCAGCAGUGAGGAAUAUUGGUCAAUGGCCGGAAGGCUGAACCAGCCAUGCCGCGUGAAGGUCAGUGCCCUAUGGGCGUUAAACUUCUUUUGUGCGGGAGCAAUAAUGGUCACGUGUGGCCAGACGAGAGUACCGUAAGAAUAAGCAUCGGCUAACUCCGUGCCAGAAGCCGCGGUAAUACGGGGGGUGCAAGCGUUAUCCGGAUAUAAUUGGUUUAAAGGGGUCGUAGGCUGUUAGGUAAGUCAGCGGUGGAAUUCCCCCGCUCAACGCUGGGAAGUGCCAUUGAUACUGGCAUGCUGGAAUGCCGAUGCCGGGGGUAGAAU
rnacentral:rRNA from 1 species